ACUCAAAGGAAUAGACGGGGGCUCACACAAGCGGUGGAGGAUGUGGCUUAAUUCGAGGCUACGCGAAGAACCUUAUCCUAGUCUUGACAUGCCUUAGAACCCUCCUGAAAGGGAGGGGUGCCCUUCGGGGAGCUUUGGCACAGGUGCUGCAUGGCUGUCGUCAGCUCGUGUCGUGAGAUGUCGGGUUAAGUCCCUUAACGAGCGAAACCCUUGUCUCUAGUUGCCAGCGGGUCAAGCCGGGGACUCUAGAGAGACUGCCGGUGUUAAACCGGAGGAAGGUGGGGAUGACGUCAAGUCCUCAUGGCCUUUAUGACUAGGGCUGCACACGUCCUACAAUGGUGCGUACAAAGGGAAGCAACCUCGUGAGAGUAAGCAAAUCCCAAAAAGCGCGCCUCAGUUCGGAUUGCAGGCUGCAACUCGCCUGCAUGAAGCCGGAAUCGCUAGUAAUCGCGGGUCAGCAUACCGCGGUGAAUAUGUUCCUGAGCCUUGUACACACCGCCCGU
rnacentral:rRNA from 1 species